UGGGGAAUCUUCCGCAAUGGGCGAAAGCCUGACGGAGCGACGCCGCGUGGGGGACGAAGGCCUUCGGGUCGUAAACCCCUGUCAGAGGGAAAGAAGGGUACCGGCGUGAACAGCGCCGGUAUUUGACGGUACCCUCAGAGGAAGCCACGGCCAACUCCGUGCCAGCAGCCGCGGUAAUACGGAGGUGGCAAGCGUUGCUCGGAAUCACUGGGCGUAAAGGGCGCGUAGGCGGGGAGGUAAGUCGGGUGUGAAAUCCCUCGGCCCAACCGAGGAACUGCGCCCGAGACUGCUUCUCUUGAGUCCCGGAGAGGAAGGUGGAAUUCCCGGUGUAGCGGUGAAAUGUGUAGAGAUCGGGAGGAACACCGGUGGCGAAGGCGGCCUUCUGGACGGUGACUGACGCUGAGGCGCGAAAGCGUGGGGAGCAAACGGGAUUAGAUACCCGGUAGUCCACGCUGUAAACGAUGGGUGCUAGGUGUGGGGGGUAUCGACCCCUCCCGUGCCGAAGCUAACGCAUUAAGCACCCGCCUCGGGGAGUACGGCCGACG
rnacentral:rRNA from 1 species